CCAAUAGCGUAUAUUAAAGUUGUUGCAGUUAAAAAGCUCGUAGUUGAAUUUCGGGAUUGACGUGAUGGUCGUGCCUUAAGGGGUAUGAACUGUUGCUGUUGAUUUCUCACCUUCUGGAGAAACUUGAUGUCCUUAAUUGGGUGUCUUGCGGAUCCAGGACCUUUACCUUGAAAAAAUUAGAGUGUUUAAAGCAGGCAUUUUGCUCGAAUACAUUAGCAUGGAAUAAUAGAAUAGGACGGCAUGGUUCUAUUUUGUUGGUUUCUAGGAUCACCGUAAUGAUUAAUAGGGAUAGUUGGGGGCAUUAGUAUUCAAUUGUCAGAGGUGAAAUUCUUUGAUUUAUUGAAGACUAACUACUGCGAAAGCAUUUGCCAAGGAUGUUUUCAUUAAUCAAGAACGAAAGUUAGGGGAUCGAAGACGAUCAGAUACCGUCGUAGUCUUAACCAUAAACUAUGCCGACUAGGAAUCAGACGAUGUUAAUUUUUUAAUGACUCGUUUGGCACCUUACG
rnacentral:rRNA from 1 species